rnacentral:rRNA from 1 species
UACGGGGGAGCAAGCGUUGUUCGGAUUUACUGGGCGUAAAGGGCGCGUAGGCGGCCAGCGCAAGUCAGUUGUGAAAUCUCCGGGCUUAACUCGGAACGGUCAACUGAUACUGCGCGGCUAGAGUGCAGAAGGGGCAACUGGAAUUCUCGGUGUAGCGGUGAAAUGCGUAGAUAUCGAGAGGAACACCUGCGGCGAAGGCGGGUUGCUGGGCUGACACUGACGCUGAUGCGCGAAAGCCAGGGGAGCGAACGGG